rnacentral:rRNA from 1 species
GUCAANUACACGGGAUGUUUUGGGCAUGCCAGACGUUCCCUACGGCGGGCGGGGCGGAUCGGAGCGGUGGGCUCGUUCCAUCCUCCCUCCGGCACGAACCUCGCCUCCAAAACAACAAACCCCGGCGUGAAAUGCGCCAAGGAAUCAUAAAACGAAAAAAGAGAACGAGCCCCCCGUUGUGUCCCGGGAACGGAAUUCGCACGGGUGGCCCGGUCUUUGUUCGAAAGCAAAACGACUCUCGACAACGGAUAUCUCGGCUCUCGCAUCGAUGAAGAACGUAGCGAAAUGCGAUACUUGGUGUGAAUUGCAGAAUCCCGUGAACCAUCGAGUCUUUGAACGCAAGUUGCGCCCGAAGCCUUCGGGUCGAGGGCACGUCUGCCUGGGUGUCAUGUAAUGUCGCCCCAUCCAACUCCCGGUGCGGGGGAUGUGAGAGGGGCGGAGAUUGGUCUCCCGUGCGCUCCCGCUCGCGGUUGGCCGAAAUCCGAGUUGUUGGCUGCGAGUGCCACGGCAAGCGGUGGUUGAUACAACCUUCUAACGAUGUCGUGAGCCAAGCCCACAAAAGGCUCAAAGACCCUGUUUCUCUCAACAAGCGACCCCCGGUCAGGGGGGAUACCCCCUGAGUUUAACAUU